rnacentral:rRNA from 1 species
AUUGAACGCUGGCGGAAUGCUUUACACAUGCAAGUCGAACGGCAGCACGGACUUCGGUCUGGUGGCGAGAGGCGAACGGGUGAGUAAUGUAUCGGAACGUGCCCAGUCGUGGGGGAUAACGUAGUGAAAAUUACGCUAAUACCGCAUACGAUCUAUGGAUGAAAGCGGGGGAUCGCAAGACCUCGCGCGAUUGGAGCGGCCGAUAUCAGAUUAGGUAGUUGGUGGGGUAAAGGCCCACCAAGCCAACGAUCUGUAGCUGGUCUGAGAGGACGACCAGCCACACUGGAACUGAGACACGGUCCAGACUCCUACGGGAGGCAGCAGUGGGGAAUUUUGGACAAUGGGCGAAAGCCUGAUCCAGCCAUUCCGCGUGCAGGAUGAGGGCCCUCGGGUUGUAAACUGCUUUUGUACAGAACGAAAAGGUUUCUACUAAUACUAGGAGCUCAUGACGGUACUGUAAGAAUAAGCACCGGCUAACUACGUGCCAGCAGCCGCCGCGG